AUUGAACGAUGGCGGCAGGCCUAACACAUGCAAGUCGAGCGAGCGGCGGACGGGUGAGUCAUGCCUGGGAAUUGCCCAGUCGAGGGGGAUAACAGUUGGAAACGACUGCUAAUACCGCCUACGAUUGGAUUGCCCAGGUGGGAUUCGCUAGUGGGUGGGGUAAUGGCUCACCAAGGCGACGAUCCCUAGCUGGUCUGAGAGGUGGAUCAGUCACACUGGAACUGAGACACGGUCCAGAGUCCGACGGGAGGCAGAAGUGGGGAAUAUGGCACAAGGGGGGAAACCCUGAUACAGCCAUGCCGCGUGUGUGAAGAAGGCCUUCGGGUUGUAAAGCACUUUCAGCGAGGAGGCGUUACUCGAAGAAGAAGCACAGGCUAACUCCGUGCCAGCAGCCGCGGUAAUAC
rnacentral:rRNA from 1 species